GCAGGGAUAACCAAGUUGGCCAACGGUGCCGGACUCUUUUGGGAAAAAAUAAUUCUCAUUAGCUGGAUUCAAGAUCUUUUAAUUUAACAUCCGUUAGAGUCAAUAAUUUCUGAUGAGAUAUCCGGUGAGAUAGCUCUUCGUGGGUUCGAAUCCCACUCCCUGCA
rnacentral:tRNA from 1 species